CAGUAGCCGCGGUAAUACGUAGGGUGCAAGCGUUAAUCGGAAUUACUGGGCGUAAAGCGUGCGCAGGCGGUGUUGUAAGACUGAUGUGAAAUCCCCGGGCUCAACCUGGGAACUGCAUUGGUGACUGCAACGCUGAAGUGCGGCAGAGGGGGAUGGAAUUCCGCGUGUAGCAGUGAAAUGCGUAGAUAUGCGGAGGAACACCGAUGGCGAAGGCAAUCCCCUGGGCCUGCACUGACGCUCAUGCACGAAAGCGUGGGGAGCAAACAGGAUUAGAUACCCGCGUAGUCCCUGUCUCUUAUAC
rnacentral:rRNA from 1 species